AUUGAACGCUGGCGGCAGGCCUAACACAUGCAAGUCGAACGAGUGGCGGACGGGUGAGUAAUGUCUGGGAAACUGCCUGAUGGAGGGGGAUAACUACUGGAAACGGUAGCUAAUACCGCAUACCAUCAGAUGUACCCAGAUGGGAUUAGCUAGUUGGUGGGGUAACGGCUUACCCAGGCGACGAUCCCUAGCUGGUCUGAGAGGAUGACCAGCCACACUGGGACUGAGACACGGCCCAGACUCCUACGGGAGGCAGCAGUGGGGAAUAUUGCACAAUGGGCGCAAGCCUGAUGCAGCCAGGCCGCGUGUAUGAAGAAGGCCUUCGGGUUGUAAAGUACUUUCAGCGGGGAGGCGUUACCCGCAGAAGAAGCACCGGCUAACUCCGUGCCAGCAGCCGCGGUAAUUC
rnacentral:rRNA from 1 species